ensembl:lncRNA
CAGCAGCCACACAGAGCAUGUGGCUAGUGGACUGAGCCAGGAAUUAACAACCAAAAAUAACUCCGAAUCCCUAUAUUUGGAACGAAGCUCAGGAACACGACAGGGGCCUCCCUGGGAACCUCUCAGGGCCUCUUUGCGUCGACUGGAUCUGUUGUUGGGUCUUUUGGAGAGAAGGCCUUGCAGCUGCGGCCGUGAACACUGGUGUCAAAGUCACCUUAGUGACUUGAUUGACCUUGUCUCCAGAAUGUCAGUCCUGAAGAGACUCACUUCGCUCUGUGAAUCCCACUUGGAGAUGCUCUUGGGGAAUUAAUCCAGAAGAGAGGAGCGGCUCUGCACACUAAGGAGGAGUGUUGGAGUUCCUCACUUCUCCGCGGGUGGAGAGAUACACCUGCUGUGUCCGCUGUGGGAAGCUCUCUAUACACCUUCGUGCGACAGAACAGUGCAGCUGACAUCAGCAGGACUGGAAGGACUAUGACACAAUAAGGCAGACGCAAAACUGCUCCUCUUGUAACAGGUAGGAAUCAGGGUUGUUCACAGAAGACAUCCUGGAGAAUUUGUUUUUAAUUGUUUAAAUGGAAUGAAGUGAUUUUUAUUUUUUUAAAUGGAUUUUAUCAUAUUUGUGUGGUUAGUUUUUUAAAAAUGUAUUUGAUGUGCAAACGAGGCCUUGAUCCCACAUUUCCAGCUCACACCCCUCCCUGGCACCAUGUCUCGUCUCCAGGAGCUGAGAGACUCAGUGACAUGCACCCCACAGCCGUUCCUGACACAGAGUCUCUUGUAAAAUGAAGGAGACUCUCCUGGGGGUCUGGGGUCUGGAUGGUGCGCCCCGAGUCCUCGGGUCUUCUGGUCCUGUGGCUGUGUCUUUGUUUUGUCAAUUGCGCCCUCUUCUCUGGCGCUCGGCUGUUUGCUGCACCCACGGCCAGGAGACCACGUACUGAGAACCCACUGAACCCGGAACUUUCUGGGCCACCAAGUAUUCCCGGGAAGACUGACUGGGAGGGUCCCCGAGUGUGUCCCCUCCUCCAGGCCGGCCGGGUAGAGGGCAGAUCUGGAUUUUCCCUCGGCUUUUCCUGGAAGCCUGGGCAAAGCCAGCCCCUCAGGGCCGUGGCACCCGGAUCUCCCAGCUCCGCGUGGAGAGAGGAUGAGGGCGACGGUCUGCUGUGACCAGAGGAGAUGCAGAGCCGGGGCUCCGCCUGCAGAGGCUCUCGUCCAUUCGACAGGCACCCUGUCCUGCCAGGUCUCUGCCCCGUUCCUGUGUCUCUCUGGCUGUAGGAAGCAGCAGGACCUUCAGAGCAUCCUUUCUACCGGCGGGAUUGUAUGGAAGCAGAGUGUGUGCCGGGGCACCUGGCGGCAGGAAGAGCUCUCGCUCCGCAGCGCGGCAGGCGGCAGGCGGCAGAGUCCCGGGCUGGGAGUCUGGAACGCAGGCUUGGACCCCAGCUCCGCCCUCUUGACUCUGUCUCUGGGUGUGUGACUCCCCAUCCGGACCUCAGCGCCCUCACAGGGGAGACGCAGGGACCCGGCACCUCAGACCUGUCACAGAGGCGAGUGAGACCACAGGGAGGAGCACAACAGAGCCCCCGGGUCUCAGGACGGACGGAGGAGCUGGGUGCUGUCGUCUUCCGUUGUCCUCGAUUCACAGGCUCUGAGACACAAACAGCUGCAGGGAUGAGGGUUCAGACUCCAGGAGAAGCACAUUCAAUUUAGAGCAACUUGGAUUCAGGGAAAAUUGAAGAGAUCUGAACUUCCCCUUUUCAUAACUUUACCUUUUGAUUCUAAUUCUGCCAAAUGAAGUCACGUUGUCAUGACACCCCUUUCGUGCCCCCUCCCUUGGGCUAAACUUGGGUUUAUGUAACUACUCCUUUCGUGACGAGUGAGCAUCACCUGAGUGGAGUUCACAGUGGGAGUGGGGGCAGGGAGGGGAGGUCCCCACGUGGAUCAGACUCUGGGGGUAGAGUUCAGAUGGCACCCACGCCCUCCACAGAAGACACUGGCAAGCCUCCCAGUCCUGGUUGUCCCUCGAAGACCAUCCCCGCCCGCUUCCCCAACACAGUCGCUUGGCAUCCACCCUUCCCCCAUGAAGCAGCACUUGCAUCAGUGAAAGCGAUUGUGUGAACAAUGUGGAAGCAGAAAGCAGUGACUGAGAGGCACGGGUAGAUUUAGCACCAGUCCAGUCUCAUACUCUCAGCAAGGAAGCUGUCUCGGGGAGGUCGACGGGGCUGCUGGAGGGAACACAGUUCCCUGGGCCCGGGCCUCUUAGGACGUGGGCUUCCCAGAGCUGCAGAGAGAUCUCGUCACCUGCUCUCUUCCCAUUGCGUUAUAUAAAUGAGACCUUUGGGGUGCCUGCCCAGCUCCCUAGACCUGCCCCCCGCUGCCAAGUUCUUGCCACACGAGGCCCCACCCUCGCCCUCGGCUGGGCCCACCUGACUGGAUCGAUAAAUGGUCUCUUGAGAAACUGGAGUUCAUAUUUGGACUCAGCUAGCCUGUCUCCACCUGUGCUGCUGCCAAGGCACCCACAAAACCUCGGGAGAUGAGGCGGCACCUUCCACCUCGUGGGCACAGAGGCAGGGAAGAGGAGACUGAAGGACGGGAAGGGAGGCGCUGAGAAGCUGCAGCCAGAGGCAGGUGGGCUCCUGUGCUUUCCAGGCGCCGGCUCAGACCCACAAGAAGCCCGGUUUCCUUUGGGUUUAUGACAGAUCCGGAAUCUCCCUAUAGAUUCCUCUUCUGGCUUGAGCUGUCCAGAGUGGACGGAUACUAACCAGGAGAGUCAAGGACCAUAAGGUAAACUGACGUCUGUUUCCUCCUAGUUUCACGCACUGGUGAUGUCAUCUUCCCAGGAGAAAACAGAGGUGGCGGCCUUCCUUGACAGAACAGCCUGCAGUGUCCAGUUGACUGCCCUUCCUUAUGUCAUGUCACCACUGGAAAACCAAGAGCUAUUGGCAAGAUCUUUAGGUCCACGUUGCCACCUGAGGAAUUUUCAAAGGGCUUUGCAAUUCCUAGAGUAAGAGCGCUCGGUCGAGCCUGGGUCACUGGACAGCCAUCACUUAGCUCAGAUCUGGAAAUGAUAGCGCGUUCCUCAGACAAGACCCAAUCAUGUUGGUUUCUAGUUAUAAGCUAUGGUUACGUGAAAAAUAGGGCCCUCAUCUCCCCCCUAAGACCUUGUAACCUCUUUUCUACUAGUUAUCACUUCACUAAUAGUAAGUUGGUGAGUUCUUAAAGCAUAUUUCUCCCAGGACAAAACUGAGUCUCAAAUAUCAGAGAAGCAUUCUGCAGCCAUCUGACCUUUGGGCCAGAGACACUCUUGGGUUACUUAAUUUUUUUAUUUUUGGGGAGGAAGAUUUGCCCUGAGUUAACAUGCAUUGCCAAUCCUCUUCUUUUGUUUUAAUGAGGAAUAUAAGCCCUGAGCUAACAUCUGUGCCAAUCCUCCUCUACUUUGUACGUGGGAUGCCUCCACAGCACGGCCAAUGAGUGGAGCAAGUCUGAAUCCGGGAUCCAAAUCUGUGAACCCGGCCACAGAAGUGGAGGGUGUGGAACUUUAACUGCUCAGCCACAGGGCCGGCCCCUUGGGUUGCUUAAUCUUUAAAACUAGAAGUGAUUGUUGUCAAAACAGCACCUAGAUCUGAUAAGUAGAAAAAAAAUCGUUUCAAUCUUACAAGGUUCGCCCAGUUGGAGCAGAAGCACAGCUGGACCCCAUGUAUUCCGAUUCUUGGUCCGACGGUCCCCUCUGUGUACGCCUCUGUGUCUGUGAUUUCUUGGUGAAAUAUCCGUGCUGGGUUUCCAUGGUAACAAUCCCCUUCUUCUGCAGACACACACAGACAUCUUGGUUCAUGAAAGUUGAAGGUUUGAUCAGGUCUUUAGUUGAGGACAAGCUGUUGUUUCCCAGAGGUAGUGAGAUGCAGGCGACGGGUAUCCAUUCCUGAGGGUCACUAACCCUGUGGCCUGGGAAGGUGAGUAGGGCAUGGGGCUGGUUGGGCUGCGGUGUCCUCCAUUCCUUCCUGUGUGUCCUCGCUGGGCGAGUGCCCUGACAGCUGACGCUCACUGGACUCUCCGGUCAGGGGCCAGCCUCCAGGCUUUACUGAGACCAUGCUGAUUAAGGUUUUGGAAAUCUCUCUUGCUCACUGCUGUUCCCAGCCCACUCCCCCAACCUCUGCAGGAUCUCCAACCGCCUGCACCAUGGGCUCGUCUGCGGGAAAAUGCAGAGAAGCUGGAGGUCAGAGCCCAGGGCCUUGGGGAGACUCAGUCAUGUUCUCUCUGGAAUUUCGAUUUCUUUUCUUUUCCAUCAGUGCCCCACCCACCCACCGCACAGUCACAUCAGCGUCAGGCGCCACUAAACCCGGGGACUUAUUGGAGCUACUUCCCCCUCCAUGGAUUCUGUCGUCAUCUGUCAGAGAGAGAUCUACUUACAGACACCCUUUUGGAACGAGCUCGUGGUUCACACCUGGCAUGUUUUCUCCACCGGGUUGUGCCCAGAGGGUGGUGGGUGGGACCAGAAGGUGUGAGGCCCAGAGGGUGGACGAGUGCCCCCACACUCGACCCCAGCAGCUCCUCUUGUGUUGUGCUUAAUUUUGUUUAAAGAGAAUGUCCUGGAACACAUGGAAACUACAAAAAAACCACAGUGCCCAAUGGUGCACAGCUGGCAUCUUAAACAUUCACGUUAACAACACGCUAAUACAUGUGACGUUUGCCCAUGAGCAUGGAAUAAUAAUUUGCGGUGAUACCUAAUUUUAAAAGACGUCAGUGAAUUGCACAAGGAGUCAGCACAAUUCUUCCCAAUCGGGUGGAGCCAUUGGGCUGAAACAUGCAGGUGGGGACGGCCUUCGGUCAGCAAGAGACUGUCCUUCCCUUCCUAUUUCCAGUGUGGUGAUAUGCACCUUAGUGAGGCCGCGGUUUUACUCAGGCUGCAGAGCAUCCUCCUACCUAGAGAUGAAGGGCACAGGGAGACGGAGCACCAGGACUGCCGCCAGUGGGAACGCGCUGCACCCGCAGAGCACAGGCGAGCCCACACUCACUCAGAGACCCCAGGACGCUGGAGUCAAAGCCUCUGGGCUGCUCGAAGCUGCUGUCUCUGCCGCGGUCCAUCGAGUAGGAGAGGCAGAGAUGAAGGCUGGACCACAGGGUGAUGGGCCUUGUCUGUGCUGGCGUCGUCAGGGCCAUGUCCUCAUUAGGGGCACAUUGCUGCUCGCACGGUGCUUCCUCCAGGGGAAAGAGGGCCCCUAAUUGUGCCUGCUGUCGUGUGACCUGAACGAUGCAGGGGGCUCUGAUGGGGUGUGAGACUGUGGCCUCCUUUACCUGGUCCCCUCACAUACACAGGAGCCCACGGGGCCCAGCUGGGCGGUCCCAUGGCCCAGGGCAAACCUGCGGGGCCUCCGUGCCCACACAGUGAAAUGUGGAGGGACACGGUGUUCUGGAGGGAGGGGUGGAGUCCUGUUGUCAGCACCUCCAUCACGACGUGACGAUGGCGUGCGCGGAGAGAGGCAGGAGCAUCGGGCCUUCCUCGAACUUCCCGUGAUGUCGCUUCGCAGUGACUGAAACUGGUGUUGGGAAAGUAGCGCUUUGGAAGGCUGCUCACAGGCACUUUGUCCAGGAAGCGAGGGCCUUGCGUGCGGCCACACGGACUGCAAGCAGUUCCCAUCAGAUGCUCCACCGGACGGCCUGGGAGGAACGGCCCUGAGGGCUCCUGUUCCUGCGUGCACCCUCGACUCUUCCCCUGCCUCCGACACAAGGAAGUUGGAGCCGUUCUGGAAGCUGGAAGCUGCUCUUCUGCCCGAUGCUGGUUUGAGAGGCAGUCAGGAGGGCUCCACCCCUGUCAACAGGACCAAAGUCCCAGAGUCGAGAGCUCGGCUGGGCCACUUCCUGAGGGAGAUGCAGCUCCACGAGGCCUGGAGGCUGAGGAGAGUCAGGAGGAGACGCUGGAGAGGAGGGCCCAGCGUGGCCCAGCCUGCCCUGCGGCUCCUGGGGCUGCAGGUGCCAGUCGCACCUUCAGGGCUGCGGUUGGGUGUCCUCCACGGUGCUUGCGAGGGGGACCUUGAGGUUUCUUCUGGCCUCGGCUUCCUCUCACAACAACAAGGGUUGGUUCCUCGAAGGGCAAGACCCUGAGCUUCUCCAGCUGCGUGACACUGAUGUCAUGGAGGAGCAGAGCUGGAGCAGAUCACUGGGGAAUCCGUGUCAUCAUACAGACAUCUCUGCGUCAUGUUCCAGCACAGAUAGAGCAUUUGCCUUCAACAGGGAGAAGAAGGACACCUCUUCGGGUCCAGAAGAUGUAGGGAAACCUGAGGUUCAAGAAUUUGAGUGUAUUGAUCAGAUGACCCUCCCUGAAGCCUCAGGGUCUCCCUUCUUCCCAACCAGGUCCUGCCAUUGGGCAGCAGCCUCCCUUGGGUUGAGGGCUGCUGUCUUUAGGACUGAGUCUUGAUCCACGGCUCUUUUUGGUUCUCUGGCUGCAGGAGAGGAGAGUGUCUAUAUGGCACCAAGGAAGCCCUCUUUUUGUCACUUUUUUUAAAAAUUGGAGAUCUUUUCAUUGCCUUGUUCUUGGCAAGAGCCGCCUGAUUCUGUAAUGCAGAUGGUUGCUGCUCUUCCCAGCCACUCCGAUGCCCUGGAUGCGGCACCCAGCAGUGUGUUUCUUUCAUUGGGCUUCCACCCUGGCUCAGUGCUACUACUGCCUGGCAGGGCUGUGGUGCCACCAGUGAUGUGCCACUUGGCAUUCUGUGCUCAACCCCACCAUACAGGCUGCUCCUGGAACACUCCUGGCCCCACCAUCUUCUGCUGGGCUCCCCUGGACACAAACUCUGAAGCAGAGGUUUGUGUGCAAGAGGUUAUUGGGAGUGUUCUCGGAAGAAAAGUCCUGUGAGCAUGGGAGGGAAGAAGGAUCGGGCAGAGGAGUAUCUUGACCACUGUGCAGGUCUGCGGGGCCUCGGCUGACCCUCCGAGAUGCUCAGCAGCUGAGGCUGCUGGUCAGUUGUCUUGAUGGAGGCAGAGCCUUGGUCUUGGGGACUGGGGGCAUCUGGAUGGCGCACGACAGCACACCCUACAGAAGCCUCUGAGGUCUCAGAGUUAGAGGCAGCAACGGUGGAGUUUGAGCCAAGGAAAAGCUGCUGUCCUAACUUGCAUGUUAAACUCGCAGUAAACACCAUGUAUGGAGGUCUUGACGGGAUGAAGUCCAGCAGGUGACGAGGACCUGGAAGGAGACUCAGGUAGCCACGGUGAAGAAUGCUUAGUAACCCUUUUCACGUGUACCUAAGCCUUUUUUUUAGGAAAUGAGGAUAAAACAGUGAAAAACCAGGCCUUGUCUUCAGGAAGCUUGUGUUCUGGUGUGUGCAGGGUGUGUGUGGGCUACCCAGAUGGGGGAGGGGGGAAGUCAGGGGAGACACAGACCAUACCUGAGGCAAGGAAGGAACCCCACAGAGGCCUGAGGGUCAGGAGGGCAGACCCAGGGCACUUGGCUUGUGUGAGCAGCCACUGCGCUGGGAGCUAGGGCAGCCUGGGAGCCAGGGUGGCCAAGGCCAGUGGACAGCAGAGGAGCAGGAGGGCAGAUGGCAGGCAUGGGGAGCUGAGGCUGACACGCAGAACCUCCAGACUGCGUGCUUCUCCAGACCCCAUGGCUGCCCUGUCUCUCAGGUCACCUCCUGCUUCUCCAUCCCCUGCAGCUGGCCUUCUCUGGACCACUGCGAGGGCUGGGUCCCGCCAGGUGAUUCUUUUCCUUUGAUACCUUCGGGUUUGAAUUUCUUAAAACUCUGUGCAUGUGCUAGUGUUAAAUCUCAAACCCGAGUUAAUCAUACAGAGCCUCACAGUGUAAGAAAACGGAGGGAGGGGAGGGGGCACAGGGCGCCCCUGGCCCCAGAUCUCGCCGGAGCUGGGCGGUCAGCAACGUGGGACUGUCGGCAACACGGGACGGCAGGGGCGUGGGCGCCAGGACCUACGCUAAGGCCGCCCUCGCAGGCCAGGCAGCUCCAGG